ensembl:snRNA U6 U6 spliceosomal RNA
ACUAAGGUGAGUAAGAAAUUAUUCCAUUUAAUGAUACAGAGAAGAUUAUCAUGGCCCAUGUGCAAGGAUGACAUGCAAAUUCAUGACAUGUUCCAUAUUUAA